GACGAACGCUGGCGGCGUGCUUAACACAUGCAAGUCGAGCGGUAAGGCCCAACUUGUUGGGUACACGAGCGGCGAACGGGUGAGUAACACGUGGGUGACCUGCCUUCAGCUCUGGGAUAAGCCUGGGAAACUGGGUCUAAUACCGGAUAGGACUGCGCUUCGCAUGGGGUGUGGUGGAAAGAUUUUUUGGCUGGAGAUGGGCCCGCGGCCUAUCAGCUUGUUGGUGGGGUGAUGGCCUACCAAGGCGACGACGGGUAGCCGGCCUGAGAGGGGGACCGGCCACACUGGGACUGAGAUACGGCCCAGACUCCUACGGGAGGCAGCAGUGGGGAAUAUUGCGCAAUGGGCGGAAGCCUGACGCAGCGACGCCGCGUGGGGGAUGACGGCCUUCGGGUUGUAAACCUCUUUCGCCAGGGACGAAGGCUUUGGUUGACGGUACCUGGAGAAGAAGCACCGGCCAACUACGUGCCAGCCACCGCCGUAACAC
rnacentral:rRNA from 1 species